rnacentral:rRNA from 1 species
CCUACGGGGGGCAGCAGUGGGGAAUAUUGGACAAUGGGCGAAAGCCUGAUCCAGCCAUGCCGCGUGUGUGAAGAAGGCCUUCGGGUUGUAAAGCACUUUCAGUGGGGAAGAAAGCCUUGGGGCUAAUACCCUCGAGGAAGGACAUCACCCACAGAAGAAGCACCGGCUAACUCCGUGCCAGCAGCCGCGGUAAUACGGAGGGUGCGAGCGUUAAUCGGAAUUACUGGGCGUAAAGCGCGCGUAGGCGGUCUGAUAAGCCGGUUGUGAAAGCCCCGGGCUCAACCUGGGAACGGCAUCCGGAACUGUCAGGCUAGAGUGCAGGAGAGGAAGGUAGAAUUCCCGGUGUAGCGGUGAAAUGCGUAGAGAUCGGGAGGAAUACCAGUGGCGAAGGCGGCCUUCUGGACUGACACUGACGCUGAGGUGUGAAAGCGUGGGUAGCAAACAGGAUUAGAUACCCCAGUAGUC